GGUGGCAUAGCUCAAUCGGCAGAGCAGCAGCCUCUUAAGCUGAACGUUGCAGGUUCAAGUCCUGCUGCCAUCA
rnacentral:tRNA from 1 species